rnacentral:tRNA from 1 species
GUUGUAGUGGCCAAGUGGUUAAGGCUAUGGACUUGAAAUUCUUUGGGGUUUUCCCACCCAGGUUCAAAUCCUGGCGAUAACA